rnacentral:lncRNA from 1 species
UUGUGGAGACGCCUAAUGGAAAGGCAAGCUGCUGGAAAGUGAUGAAUCAACUCAAGACAUGUGUGUUAGCGUCAAGUUGUUGGAGUUCAAGAUUGGAUGUGCACUAGGUGUCAAUUAUACUAGGCACAAGGUUUCUUGACUCAAGGGAUGGCCCAAGCCAUGGAAAACUCAAGUUAUUGGUUCCCAAAGAUGAUUCAAGUCAAUCAUUGCCUCAAAGCAAUAGUUUUGAGUUCUUAUCCUAUUUGGGACCAAAUAUCAACAAGUCUUUAUUCUCACGUCUAAACAUUCUUCAUG